CCUGUAAGACUGGGAUAACUCCGGGAAACCGGAGCUAAUACCGGAUAGUUCCUUGAACCGCAUGGUUCAAGGAUGAAAGACGGUUUCGGCUGUCACUUACAGAUGGACCCGCGGCGCAUUAGCUAGUUGGUGAGGUAACGGCUCACCAAGGCGACGAUGCGUAGCCGACCUGAGAGGGUGAUCGGCCACACUGGGACUGAGACACGGCCCAGACUCCUACGGGAGGCAGCAGUAGGGAAUCUUCCGCAAUGGACGAAAGUCUGACGGAGCAACGCCGCGUGAGUGAUGAAGGUUUUCGGAUCGUAAAGCUCUGUUGUUAGGGAAGAACAAGUGCAAGAGUAACUGCUUGCACCUUGACGGUACCUAACCAGAAAGCCACGGCUAACUACGUGCCAGCAGCCGCGGUAAUACGUAGGUGGCAAGCGUUGUCCGGAAUUAUUGGGCGUAAAGGGCUCGCAGGCGGUUUCUUAAGUCUGAUGUGAAAGCCCCCGGCUCAACCGGGGAGGGUCAUUGGAAACUGGGAAACUUGAGUGCAGAAGAGGAGAGUGGAAUUCCACGUGUAGCGGUGAAAUGCGUAGAGAUGUGGAGGAACACCAGUGGCGAAGGCGACUCUCUGGUCUGUAACUGACGCUGAGGAGCGAAAGCGUGGGGAGCGAACAGGAUUAGAUACCCUGGUAGUCCACGCCGUAAACGA
rnacentral:rRNA from 1 species